rnacentral:tRNA from 1 species
CCGGUCUUAGCUCAGUUGGUAGAGCACGUGACUGUAGAGGUUGCAUUCAUCAUGGGGUCGCUGGUUCGAUUCCGGCAGACCGGA